AGGUAGGGGCUCUGCAAGGGGGAAGGGGCGGAGAGGCGACCCCCAUAAAUGGCACUGCGAUACGGGCCAUACUCCUACGGGAGGCGGCAGUCGAGAAUCUUCCGCAAUGGGCGAAAGCCUGACGGAGCGACGUUUCGUGAAUGAUGACGCCCUUCGGGAGAUAAAGUUCUUUUAUGUGUGCAGGAGAGAGAGAACUGUACCUUCAUUAAUAAGGAGGU
rnacentral:rRNA from 1 species